rnacentral:rRNA from 1 species
GACCUCGGAUCAGGUAGGAAUACCCGCUGAACUUAAGCAUAUCAAUAAGCGGAGGAAA